rnacentral:rRNA from 1 species
CCUACGGGAGGCAGCAGUAGGGAAUAUUGCUCAAUGGGGGAAACCCUGAAGCAGCAACGCCGCGUGGAGGAUGAAGGUUUUCGGAUUGUAAACUCCUUUUGUUAGAGAAGAUAAUGACGGUAUCUAACGAAUAAGCACCGGCUAACUCCGCGCCAGCAGCCGCGGUAAUACGGAGGGUGCAAGCGUUACUCGGAAUCACUGGGCGUAAAGAGCGCGUAGGUGGGAUAGCAAGUCGGAGGGGAAAUCCUAGGGCUUAACCAUAGAACUGAAUUUUAGACUGUUGUUCUAGAGUAUGGGAGAGGUAGGUGGAAUUCUUGGUGUAGGGGUAAAAUGCGUAGAGAUCAAGAGGAAUACUCAUUGCGAAGGCGACCUGCUAGAACAUAACUGACGCUGAUGCGCGAAAGCGUGGGGAGCAAACAGGAUUAGAUACCCUUGUAGUC